rnacentral:tRNA from 1 species
GGUGCUGUGGCUUAGCAGGUAAAGCCGGCACUUGCUGUGCCAACAUCCCAUAUGGGCUCUGGUUCGAAUCCCGGCUGCUCCA